rnacentral:rRNA from 1 species
GACGAACGCUGGCGGCGUGCCUAACACAUGCAAGUCGAACGAAGCAUAGCAAUAUGCUUAGUGGCGGACGGGUGAGUAACGCGUGAACAAUCUGCCCUGUACAAAGGAAUAGCCUCGGGAAACCGGGAUUAAAACCGUAUGACACUUUAGUAUCGCAUGAUAAGAAAGUCGAAUCGAAUAGAGGUAUGGGAUGAGUUCGCGUCUGAUUAGCUGGUUGGCGGGGUAACGGCCCACCAAGGCGACGAUCAGUAGCCGGCCUGAGAGGGUGAACGGCCACACUGGAACUGAGACACGGUCCAGACUCCUACGGGAGGCAGCAGUGGGGAAUAUUGCACAAUGGAGGGAACUCUGAUGCAGCGACGCCGCGUGAGUGAAGAAGGUCUUCGGAUCGUAAAACUCUGUCCUUGGUGAAGAAAAGGACGGUAGCCAAGGAGGAAGCCCCGGCUAACUACGUG